rnacentral:rRNA from 1 species
UACGUAGGGCGCGAGCGUUAUUCGGAAUUACUGGGCGUAAAGCGUGUGUAGGCGGUCUGUUAAGUCCGAUGUGAAAUCCCCGGGCUUAACCUGGGAACUGCAUUGGUGACUGGCAGGCUUUGAGUGUGGCAGAGGGAGGUAGAAUUCUACGUGUAGCAGUGAAAUGCGUAGAGAUGUGGAGGAAUACCGAUGGCGAAGGCAGCCUCCUGGGCCAACACUGACGCUCAUGCACGAAAGCGUGGGGAGCAAACAGG